AGCAGCCGCCGCGGUAAUACGGAGGGGGCUAGCGUUGUUCGGAAUUACUGGGCGUGAAGCGUACGUAGGCGGUUUUGUAAGUUAGAGGUGAAAGCCCGGAGCUCAACUCCGGAAUUGCCUUUAAGACUGCAUCACUUGAACGUCGGAGAGGUGAGUGGAAUUCCGAGUGUAGAGGUGAAAUUCGUAGAUAUUCGGAAGAACACCAGUGGCGAAGGCGGCUCACUGGACGACUGUUGACGCUGAGGUACGAAAGCGUGGGGAGCAAACAGGAUUAGAUACCCCAGUAGUCCCUGUCUCUUAUAC
rnacentral:rRNA from 1 species